GAAGAUAUAUUAUUAUUAUUAUUAUCAUCAUUAUUACAUACAUAAGGUACAUAACACACAUAAAUAAAAGAAAGAAAAUUAAUUAAUUAAUUGUGAAAAAUAGAAACUAGUUAUUUAUUUAUUUAUUUCUCUAACUUAUUUCAGUCAAAUCAAACCAUAUUUGCUUGAAUACCUUGAUGAUAAUAUCAUGAUACUCAUCUGAAUUCAAACAAAGGUAACAAGCAAGAAGAUCUUCCAAAUCCUUGGAUGCCCUUAUGUUGUUCUCCACAAUCAUCUCCACCAUUGACUCUCUGAAAUCUUUGUGAGGAUUGAAAGAUGAUUUCACUAUUGCAAGACUACCGGAGAGGCUUCUCCUGUAGGCGCCGGAAGUUUCCGUCGAUGACACGCUUUUCCGGCGAUGAAACUGAACCUUCCUUGUAGCAAUUCUUGGAGAGUUUACACGAAGUUUCACUCCUGGUGAAUUAACAGAGUUAGAAGAGAGUAGUUUCUUUACAGAACAAUUUUUCUUCUUGUUCUUCUUUUGUUGUUGAUGUUGUUGUUGUUGUUCCUUCAAAAUUUUAAUCUUUAGAGACAUUUCUUUGAGGGGUUUGUGUUCUUUAUUGUUGGGUAGUUUUGUAAUGAUUGGAGGAAGUUGAAGUUUUGAAAAAGAAUCAUCAUACCCUUUAAGUUUAUCAUCUUUUCUAGCUAGAGAAUUUUUGUCAACAUCAAUAUCUUUGUUGUUGGAUUUGUUGCAGGGACAAGAAGAAAUGGAAAAUGAAACCAUUUCAUCGAAUGAUGAUUCAGUUGGAAUAAGAACACGGUCUGUUCUGAAUUCUGUUUCAGGGGAUUCUGACUCAGUUAAGCUAUCAAGUGAAGAAGAAGAAGAAGAAGAG
rnacentral:lncRNA from 1 species